UUUUCAAAGCAAAGGACAACAAUAUGUUGCUUGUGGGCAAUGCAGUUUUUCAGAAAGCUUGGCUGGAUCAAAAACUUGCAGUCACUGCGGUCCUUCAGGACCAAUGCUGAUAACCCUUGGUGUACAUCAUGGCAGAAGACAGAAGAGUAGUCAAGAAGGCUGAGCUUAAAGGCUAUUUAUAUUGAUCUGC